rnacentral:rRNA from 1 species
AUGAACGCUGGCGGCGUGCCUAAUACAUGCAAGUCGCGCGAACAGACGAGGAGCUUGCUCCUCUGACGUUAGCGGCGGACGGGUGAGUAACACGUGGAUAACCUACCUAUAAGACUGGGAUAACUUCGGGAAACCGGAGCUAAUACCGGAUAAUAUAUUGAACCGCAUGGUUCAAUAGUGAAAGACGGUUUCGCUGUCACUUAUAGAUGGAUCCGCGCCGCAUUAGCUAGUUGGUAAGGUAACGGCUUACCAAGGCGACGAUGCGUAGCCGACCUGAGAGGGUGAUCGGCCACACUGGAACUGAGACACGGUCCAGACUCCUACGGGAGGCAGCAGUAGGGAAUCUUCCGCAAUGGGCGAAAGCCUGACGGAGCAACGCCGCGUGAGUGAUGAAGGUCUUCGGAUCGUAAAACUCUGUUAUUAGGGAAGAACAAAUGUGUAAGUAACUAUGCACGUCUUGACGGUACCUAAUCAGAAAGCCACGGCUAACUACGUG